rnacentral:rRNA from 1 species
CCGCGGUAAAACCAGCUCCCCGAGGGGUUCCCACGCACACUGGGCCUAAAGCGUCCGUAGCCGGCCCUGUAAGUCUGCAGUUAAAUCCGCCUGUAGACAGGCGGGUUGCUGCAGAUACUGCAGGGCUAGGGAGCGGGAGGAGCCGGGGGUAUUCCCGGGGGAGCGGUAAAAUGCGUAGAUCCCGGGAGGACCACCAGUGGCGAAGGCGCCCGGCUUGAACGCGUCCGACGGUGAGGGACGAAAGCUGGGGGAGCAAACCGGAUUAGAUACCCGGGUAGUCCCAGCCGUAAACGAUGCCGGCUAGGUGCUGGCCAAGGUUUCGGCCUUGGCCAGUGUCGAAGCGAAGGCAUUAAGCCGGCCGCCUGAGGAGUACGGCCGCAAGGCUGAAACUUGAAGGAAUUGACGGGGGGGCACCACAAGGGGUGAAUGCCUGCGGCUUAAUUGGACUCAACGCCGGGAAUCUUACCGGGGGCGACAGCAGGAUGAAGGUCAGGCUGAAGACCUUACCAGACGCGCUGAGGGGUGGUGCAUGGCCGUCGCCAGCUCGUGCCGUGAGGUGUCCUGUUAAGUCAGGCAACGAGCGAGACCCCCGCCCCUAGUUGCCAGCGGCCUCCUUCGGGAGGGACCGGGCAAACUAGGGGGACCGCCUCCGAAGAGGAGGAGGAAGGUGGGGGCUACGGCAGGUCAGUAUGCCCCUAAUCCCCCGGGCCGCACGCGGGCU